GGAUAGCUCAGUCAGUAGAGCAUGAGACUCUUAACUUCAGAGUUAUGGGUCCGAGCCCCACAUUGGGUGAACG